GGGCCCGUAGUAUAGCGGUAACACAAGUCUAUGGCAUAGACUAGUCAGGGGUUCGAUUCCCCUCGGGUCCA
rnacentral:tRNA from 1 species